UAGGGCCAUUAAACUCGUGCAAUUUCCUACCGCUUCAAGCAGGGUGCAGGGCCACCAAGCUCAAGUGCAGUUUCAUGCCACUUCAAGCAGAGUGCAAGGCCCCCAAAUGCUAGUGCUGUUUAAUGCCAUUUCAAGCAGGGUGCAAGACCAUCAAAUUCAAGUGCAGUUUCAUACCAUUUCAUGCAGGUGCAAGGCCACCAAAUUCAACUGCAUCUUCAUACCAUUUCGUGCAGGGUGCAAGGCCACCACCUUCAAAUACAGUUUCAUGCCAUUUCAAGCAGGGUGAAACCACCAUAAAACCACACAAAACACCACAUAAACACCACACUCAGUUCAGUAGACAUUCAGUGUGUUCAGUUGAUUCACAGCUCAGACAGAGUCAUGACCUCUCCUUCCCCCAUCUUGUAAAGACUGAGCCACCCACACUUCUGGGCUUUAUAAUCCCUCCCCCUCCCACUAGAAGGGGCAUGGCCUUCAUGGUGUGAUUGACAAGAGAGAGAUUAUCAACAUUUUUUAAAACACUAAUAACACUUUUAUUUUUCAUUGAUGGGAAGAAUCCUCCGCACCUGAUGAGCGGAGGGCUACUGAGUAAGAUGGCCAAAAAAACAGCCGCUGACGAGCAUUUGACUGUGGAUAGAAUCUGGAGCCCUUCCUGUCUGGAAAACCUUAAGAUAUUUAAUUAUGCAACAAGACACCGGGGAGUAGCAAUGCUUUAGGGAGCUCUGAGUUUUAUCAGACUAAUUUUAUUAUGUAAAGAAUUCAGUAAAUGUUUCUCCCAACCCAUCAAAAGCAUUUUUUUUCAUUUUCAAUGAGAAGAUCAUGGCUUGAAGACUUUAAGAAGAGAGGAUGCAAUGAUAUCUCUCAAACUUAAUUACACUUGCCACUUGUGUUUUGAACUGAUAGGAGUGUGAUUAUGAUUUCUCUCAAAGUUCUGCUAUUCCCUUUGCCCGUCAGCAAGAGGAUAAAUUAUUCUUUGAGACAUGUUAAUUUCCUCGUCCAUCUGACCUUAAUUAUGGCUGAUCAAUGCCAUUUGAAGUACUGUAGAUUGCCAUGUAUGCAAAGCAUAAUAAAUUGUUCCAGUAACUCUC